CGGAGUUAAAUCCUCCCUUUUGC
rnacentral:tRNA from 1 species